AGAGUUUGAUCCUGGCUCAGAAUGAACGCUGGCGGCAUGGAUUAGGCAUGCAAGUCGAACGGUGAAUUCUCCUUCGGGAGAAGGAUCAGUGGCGAAAGGGUGAGUAGCGCGUGAGUAACCUACCCUUGAGUUCGGAAUAACCCUGGGAAACUGGGUGUAAUACCGGAUGUGGCUCCUCGGUCGCAUGACCGAGAAGCUGAAGGCGGCAACGCCGCUCGAGGAUGGACUCGCGUCCUAUCAGCUUGUUGGUGGGGUAACGGCCUACCAAGGCGAUGACAGGUAGCUGGUCUGAGAGGAUGGUCAGCCACACUGGGACUGAGACACUGCCCAGACUCCUACGGGAGGCUGCAGUCGAGAAUCUUCCGCAAUGGGCGAAAGCCUGACGGAGCGAUGCCGCGUGAGGGAUGAAGGCCUUCGGGUUGUAAACCUCUGUCACCCGGGACGAAGAAGUGACGGUACCGGGAGAGGAAGCCACGGCUAACUACGUGCCAGCAGCCGCGGUAAUACGUAGGUGGCGAGCGUUAUUCGGAUUUACUGGGCGUAAAGGGUCCGCAGGGGGUCUGCCAAGUCUGAUGUGAAAGCCCGUGGCUCAACCACGGAAGUGCAUUGGAAACUGGUGGACUUGAGUGUGCGAGAGGAGAGUGGAAUUCCUGGUGUAGCGGUGGAAUGCGUAGAUAUCAGGAGGAACACCGAUGGCGAAGGCAGCUCUCUGGCGUACUACUGACCCUCAUGGACGAAAGCGUGGGUAGCAAACAGGAUUAGAUACCCUGGUAGUCCACGCUGUAAACGGUGUGCACUAGAUGUGGGAAGGCUUUGGUCCCUCCCGUGUCCAAGCUAACGCGUUAAGUGCACCGCCUGGGGACUACGGCCGCAAGGCUAAAACUCAAAGGAAUUGACGGGGGCCCGCACAAGCGGUGGAGCAUGUGGCUCAAUUCGAGGCAACGCGAAGAACCUUACCUGGGUUUGACAUGUACCGGACAGCCUGUGAAAGCAGGUUUUCCUUCGGGAUCGGUACACAGGUGCUGCAUGGCUGUCGUCAGCUCGUGUCGUGAGAUGUUCGGUUAAGUCCGGCAACGAGCGCAACCCGCGUCACUAGUUGCUACCAGGUAAUGCUGGGCACCCUAGUGAGACUGCCCGUGUCAAGCGGGAGGAAGGCGCGGAUGACGUCAAGUCAGUAUGGCCCUUACAUCCAGGGCUGCACACGUGCUACAAUGGGCGGUACAGUAAGACGCGAUACCGCGAGGUGGAGCAAAUCUUCAAAACCGUCCUCAGUUCGGAUUGGAGUCUGCAAUUCGACUCCAUGAAGUUGGAAUCGCUAGUAAAGGCGCAUCAGCAACGGCGCCUUGAAUACGUUCCCGGGCCUUGUACACACCGCCCGUCACAUCAUGGAAGCCGGUUGCACCCGAAGUCACUGGCUCAACCCCGCUUCGGUGGGGAGAGAGGUGCCGAAGGUGUGGCCGGUAACUGGGAUGAAGUCGUAACAAGGUA
rnacentral:rRNA from 1 species